ACGCUGGCGGCAGGCUUACACAUGCAGUCGAGCGGAAGCGGAAAGGGGGUUGCUUGCACCUUUAGCUUAGCGGCGGACGGGUGAGUAAUGCUUAGGAAUCUGCCUAUUAGUGGGGGACAACAUUUCCCGAAAGGAAUGCUAAUACCGGCCAUACCGGCCCCCUUACCGGGGGGGGGGAAAAGCAGGGUGAUCUUCGGACCUUGCGCUAAUAGAUGAAGCCCCUAAGUCGGAUUAGCUAGUUGGUGGGGUAAAGGCCUACCAAGGCGACGAUCUGUAGCGGGUCUGAGAGGAUGAUCCGCCACACUGGGACUGAGACACGGACCAGACUCCUACGGGAGGCAGCAGUGGGGAAUAUUGGACAAUGGGCGGAAGCCUGAUCCAGCCAUGCCGCAGUGUGUGAAGAAGGCCUUUUGGUUGUAAAGCACUUUAAGCGAGGAGGAGGCUACUGGUACUAAUACUACUGGAUAGUGGACGUUACUCGCAGAAUAAGCACCGGACUAACUCUGUGCCGCCGCGGUAGUACAGAGGGUGCGAGCGUUGAUCGGAUCUACUGGGCGUACAGCGUGCGUAGGCGGCUGAUUAAGUCGGAUGUGAAAUCUC
rnacentral:rRNA from 1 species